CUGCAAGACGCUUGGUGCUCGCCCGGCCUCGAAGGCUCACUCAUGACAGAGGCAUCCAUGUACCCCUGGGACACGUCACGGGGUGUGUCCAGCACCAGGAAAGGAUCUGCCUUUUUGUGUUUCCCUCCCCUGAGGCAGGGCAGGAGUCGGGCAGGGACUCGCUGGACUGUGAGGAGAAGCAGUGUGUCCUCACCUUUCCACCUUCCUCUGGCCACAGCUUUAGCUGCUGAAUGAUAACAAGGCUGCCUGCCGAUCUCAUAAGAGGGCAUCUUGGGCAAGGCAAGGAGAAAGGGCUUUGGAGUCUUGAGUUCAAAUCCCGGCUCCCCCAGCUGCUGUGCAACCGUGAUGUAUGACAGCCUCUCUGGGCCUCAGUGUUUGUAUCUGCAAGAUGAGGCUCUGACAUAGACCUGAUUAGGUUAUGGUGAGGAUUACACAAUCCCUGCUUGAAAGGCACCUGGCUUGUUCUGAGUAAACCCUGUGACUCCCUUUAAUUCCUGGUGGGUGGCUUGCUUGUGCCCUCAUGAGGUUCAGCACUUGGCAGUACCCUGUCACCUGUUCAUCAUUAGCAAUGACGGACGCAAUGCUUCCUCUGUGACAAAGCCUCAUCCGACAGAGCAGGACUGCAGGGCUUCUCCAGGGCUUGGGGAGGGGGACAAGGGCAGUGCGCACAGUUCCUUUUUGUUUGCUGAUGCCACACUAGGCACGUGAAAGGGCUGGGUCAGAGAACCCAGCUUGGCCCACGCUGUCUCGGUUGGUGGCCGUCCUCACCUUCCUCACCCUUCAGAUCCCGUAGGGAGCCCCUGCGGUGGUGCCAUGGACGGGAAGCAUCCCACCGUGCUUGUGGCUCACCUCGAGGUCCAGGUGUCACUGCAUGGCCUGAAAAGGACUGUCUCCGAGCAGGUGCUCCCUCAUCUCCCCUCUCCCGAUUUCUACAACAUCCUCUUCCCUGGCUCCUCGCCACUCCCUCCACUCUUUUUUCUUUAAACUUUUAUUAAAGAAUAACAUCCCUCAAUUUUUUUCCCUCCAACAAAGAACAAGCUCAUGACCAAGAACAAAGAGGACAUCUUGACCGUAGUCUCAGAAGCUUUAGUGUGAGCGGAUGAUAUGGGCACGAAGCAAGGCACCCAGAAGUGGGGGCAACUACUCUGCUUUCUAAAAUGCAAGGGAACCGGAAAAUCCAGGAGCCGUGCCAAAGUGAGUGAGUAUUUUCUUGGGCCACCAAAGGGGUCUGAACUGGUGUGGCUUGAGCUCAGUUUUUGUGGUUCAGAUAGAUUUGAAAACUCACUUCUCCCCAUUAAGCACUGGAAGGAAUUAGUCACCCUUCUUUGUGGAAGUGGAGAGAUUCUCCGAGAGCUACUCAACAGGCUCCUUUGAAAGGUUCUCAGGACCAGCACUGUGCUGAGUGUGUGUGUGUGUGUGUGUGUGUGUGUGUGUGUGUGUGUGUGUGAAAGAGAGAGAGAGAGAAACAGAGAAUGUGAAGGUAUGUGAGGGACAGAGGGAGGAGUGAGAGAGAGACACAGAGGGAAACAGAGAGAGAUGGAGAGAUGGAGGGUGAGUGAGACAGAGAGAUAUACAGUGAGGGAGAUGGAGAGAGAAAUGAAGAGACAGAAAGAGAAAGAGAAAGGAGAGGGAGAAUGAGUGUGGAUAGGGUGGAGGGAACAAAAAGAUUAAGAUACAGUCACCAACCUCUAGGGUUUACCAUCAUGCCAACAAAUAUAGCAAUGUUCCUGGGUAGAAUAGGGCCAUGACAAAGGAGGAUAAUGGAAAGGGUGGUUAAUUCUGGCCAGAAGAACCCCAGAAGACUUCCUGGAGGAGGUGGCAUUUGGCUAGUGUUUUCCAUUCAGGGUGAGCUGGGUAUCUGUGGGUAAGAGCUUCAGAGCAGAGGGAACAGCAGCUGCAGAGAUAGGACGCUGGCUGCUGUCUGUCUCUAAGCCUUGGGCUCCUGGGCCAGGCCUUCUUUAUGCUCAUUCCUUCACAGGUGGAGCAAGACCCUCAGUCCCCCCGACUCCCCACCCCUCACCACCCGGGCUCAGCUGGGGCUCCCCCUCCUCUCUAGAGGCCACACUGGGGAAGUUGCCCUCAGUCUGCAGGCAGCUAUGAGAGGAGUUUCACUUCACUCAGCAAAAUCUUUUCUUAGAACCACAGUUGGCUUUUACAAAAUUUUCUGGCCACAUGAAAGCCAAGCAGCCAGUUUUCAAAAGGCUUUCGAUGGCUGAGAAGGAAUGUUCAAGGAAGGCUGUUGUAUCACGGACGAGACUCUUUCCAUGCUUAUGGUUUGAAUGUUUGCUCCCUCCCAAACUCUUGUGGAAACUCAAGCCCCAGUGUGGCAGGAUGGAGAGGUGGGACCCAAGAGGUGAUUGGGUCGGCCGGGCGCGGUGGCUCACGCCUAUAAUCCCAGCACUUUGGGAGGCCAAGGCGGGCGGAUCAUGAGGUCAGGAGAUCGAGACCAUCCUGACUAACACGGUGAAACCCCGUCUCUACUAAAAAUACAAAAAAUUAGCUGGGCGUGGUGGCAUGUGCCUGUGGUCCCAGCUACUCGGGAGACUGAGGCAGGAGAAUCACUUGAACCCGGGAGGCGGGGUUUGCAGUGAGCCGAGAUUGCACCACUGCACUCCAGCCUGGGCGACAGAGCAAGACUCCGUCUCCAAAAAAAAAAAAAAAAAAAAGAGGUGAAUGUGUCAUGAGGGCUCUCUGCCCUCAUGAGUGGAUUAAUCCAUUCAUAGAUUAAUGGAUUAAUGAAUUAAAGGGUUGUUUUGGGAGUGGCUGGCUUUAUGACAGGAAGAGAGGCCUGUGCCUGCCCAGUGAGCUCUCUCCCCACAAGAUGCCCUGUGCUGUCAUGAGACUCUGCAGUGUCCCUACCAGCAGGAAGGCUCUCCCCAAAUGCAGCCCCUUGACCCUGGACUUCCCAGCCUCCAGAACUGUAAGAAAGACAUUUCAUUUCUUCUAAAUUACCCAGUCUCCAGUAUUCUGUUAUAAACAAUAGAAAAAGGACUAGGACGCCAUCUUUAUGUCUUUUUACGGUUGGGAUGGGGAGGGAAGUGGUGAGGAGGAGACCAAAGUUGGAGAUACCUGUGAACAAAGUGACAUCCUUGAGGGAGUGAGCCCCCUUCACCAGUGGUGUACAUUCUGCCACCCACUCAUGUUUUAUUCAUCUGGCUUCCACCAUCUUCCUUUGCCAGCCACAGUGUUAUGAGUGCUGAGGGACAGAGCGGGGAGAUGAGGAUUCCAAGAAUGAAUAGAGUGAGUUCUCUUCCUUUUAAAGUUGCAAAUGAAUGAUUACUCAAUGUGGCAGCUACGAGCUGCAGUGAACAGUGCAAAAUAGCAAGUUUCUGGGUCUUGGGGAAUCGAGGAGGCAUUUUUUGAGUGUGGUUUUGCAGAAUAAGUCAGCAUUUACCCACAGAGACAAGCAAGAAAGAUGUCCUAAAAAGCAAAGCAGCAACUGCAGGGGCCACCUAGGGACAAAACCCCAAGUCCUAGUCUGUUGCUGUCACCAAAUGUCACGUUGCCUCUUUGUGCCUCUGCUCAGCAGAGAUCACCGUUGAUGGAGCAUUGUGAGGCCUUUCAGGGUGAGGAGGUGUUCUGCUCUGGAACUCUAUCAUCAUCUUACAGAACAUGGUGUCAGCUUCCAGGGACUGUUUGACACACAAUUUUGGUUUCCCCCAAGCACAGAACCUGGCACAUGUUAAAAACCUAAUCAGUGUUUUUUGUCAUGAAAGCAAAGCAUUGUAAUUCUGUGACUAAAGCAUGACAGCUAUAUUUUGUCAGGUAGAAAAAGAACACAGGCGGUUGUCUUGACUGUGCUUAGAAGGGCGUACACUAAACCUAUUACUAUUGUGGAUUUUAUUUGUGAGAUUUUCUUUUUUUAAUGAAAGAAGAGGUGUUUAACACAUCUUAACUGCAAUAUUUGCAAGUGUUCAUAAGCCUGAAAUGUAUAGAACUGAACUGAAUUUUUUAAAGUUAGGCAUCGUUACCAUGAUUUUAGCAGUUGUUUAUUGAGUAGGGAUAAGGGGCUUUGCACACUGCAUGCUUUCUCUAUGUCUGUUUACUUUGAUUUUUCCUCUCAUCUCUAUGUGAAAGUGGAAUACAUUUCCUCAGAAGAAGCCUGACUGGAAGCAAGCAUCUGCAAAAGCAACAUGGACUUGUCCUUAAUAGGAAGAGGAGCUGCUGGCCUGGGCAUGAAAGGGAGAGCAGGAAGGCCAGGGGCUCAAAGCACAGAGAUGGGGCGCAGGGAGGCAGCAAGGGGUGGACAGAGUGGGUGACCUGGAGACUGUGAGGAGGGUGUUAACACUGCUAGAGAGAAAGCAUGGGUAUGUUAGGCCAAUCUUGCAUUGCUAUGAAGGCAUACCUGAGACUGGGUAAUCUAUAAAGAGAAGAGGUUUAAUUGGCUCACAGUUCUGCAGGGUGUACAAGAAGCAUGGCACCAGCAUCUGCUUGGUUUCUGGCAAAGCCUCAGGAAGUUUUACUCACGGCAGAAGGUGAAGCAGGAUCAGGCACAUACACGGGCACAUCACACGGCCAGAGUGGAAGCAACAGAGAGGGAGGGAGGAGGUGCCACGCACUUUUAAACAACCAGCUCUUCAAAGAACUCACUCAUCACCAAGGGGAUGGCUUUAAGCCAUUCAUGAAUGAUCUGCCCUCGUGAUCCAAAUACUUCCCGCCAGGCCCCACUUCCAACACUGGGGAUUACAAUUUUACAUGAGAUUUGACAGGGACACAGACCCAGACCAUAUCAAUGGGCUUGAGGCAUGGAACAGAUCAUUCUUUGCACCUCAUGCUGUCUUCAUUUCUUCCCCCUCUGGAAAUGAGACCAAAUGUGAAGACUGUGGACACUUUCAGGCAGGUGGGACCCCAGAUGAUGGCCUCUGGGGGGAACCAUCUGUUACCAGGUGCCCAAUGGGGUAGUGAUAAAGAAGGUGAACCCCGGAGCUCAACUGCCUGGGUGCAAAUCCUGCUGUUCCACGCACUCGCUCUGCAACCUUGGUGAGAAGAGGAACAAAUGGAGGAACAUCCCAGUCAAGUGACAUUCCUAGUGACAUUCACCAGAACAGAGUCAAGCUUUGGAUCCCAUGUUCUGUGACUUCCUCUUCACCACGCUUCCUCCACACACGUAGCAGCUCAAGGGUUUCUGAUGAGUGGGAGGCUUGACUAGAAUUGAAUUCGAGACAAGCACAAAGAUCAUGAUGCAAAUGAAAGGGACAGAGGGGAGAGAAACAGAAAACAAGUGAGUCAAAUUUGAGCAUUGCACCCAGUGGAGAAGCAUGUGUGGCCAGGGAGCUGCAUGAAGGUGAAAUCAGAACCUGUCCUUGGAGCACUCCUGGAAGUAUGAGCAGGGGUGCAGUCAGGACGGCCUGACUCUCUGACCCUGUGACUGAGCCACAGGGGUCUCUUCUAUGCUUCACUGUGCUUCUUCAAUCUUGCCAUCACUGUGUUGAAAAAGCAUCCCUGGGCAUUUGUGGUGAAGCCAUUGGCAGAGCAUCAACAGUCUUUCCAAUGUACCAGUCCCACAGGGACCAGCCCCGGCUCCUUUACUUGGUUCAUCAUCCCACAAAAAAGGCUCCAGAGUGAUGAGUGGAGGGAAUGUGUAUACAAGCUGGGAGAUGCUUCAGGGAUGGGGCAUGACUCUGAGAAGCUCCACAUGCAAAACAGGGUUAUGAUGGUCUAGGAGCCAGCUGCAGGGAGGUGGGCAGCCAGGAGGUGGGCUGGGGCUAUCAGGGGAGUGACUGACUGCAAGGGCAGGCUCAAGGUGAAACUUUGAGAGGCAGAUCCCAAGGCCCUUGGAUCUGGCCUGUUACAGCAAAUGGAGGAGUAAGGCAGAAAAGUCCUCUAGGGCUGUCUUCUACUCUCUCCUCCAACAGAUUUUCACUGAGCAUUUGCCAUGAGCCAGACUCUGUUAGCUGUUGAGGUUUCAAGGGAAGGUAGAAAAGACAGAAGCAAACCAAUGAUAAAGAUAUCUAUUGUCUUUUAGUGACUUUCAUACACGCUCCCUCUCUUUUUUAUUCUGUGCAUCUCAUUAUCUAAGGGCUCGUUUUGUACCAAAUGCUUUUAUACAUCAUCUCAUUCAAAUCUCUCUGAGGUUGGAAAUGCUAUUUUUGUUUUACAGCUGUAAAAACUAAGGCCAGAGAGGGAAAGUGAGUGACCCAGGGCCCCACAGCUAGACAGAUUCAAAUCCAUGGGGUCUAUCUUAGUGACAAAGCUGGCACAUUUCUUCCCCUCCUUGUGCCUGCUGAGGUUUUUUUGUUUUGUUUUGUUUUGUUUUUUGUUUGUUUGUUUUGGCUUUUAACAUUUUACAAUAUUUUGCUAUUUUUUCCUAAUCAGGCAAUAUACAUAAAUAUUUUAACAAUCAACUAGUUUAAGAUUUAUGAAAAACAGCGUUUUCUUGCCCACCUUCUCCCAAUUCUUCCUGCUCCCCAGAGGCAGCCACUUCCAAAUGUUAGCCAGUUCAAUUCUACAUGUAAUAGGAGAACGGCAAUUUUUAUUGAUGUGUUGAUUUGAGACAUUUGGCAUCUUCCGGUGAUGAAGUUUUGUCUCUCUCUACUGGACACCAUCUGCCUCUUCCAGAUGUAUUCUUCUCACCCUGGGCAUUCUCCCAAGAGGCUGACCUGUAGGAACGCAGUGAACAGGCUACCUGAUCACUGGCUUCUGGGUUGGGUGUGGCUCAUGAGAGACAUUGGCAGGAGACUGGAUUGGAGGAAGAUGCAGGGGCCAGAGUGUUUACUCUCCUAGAUAAGCCCCUUCCUCCUCUUCUGGCAGGCAGUGCUCUCCAUAUAGCCGCUCUCUUAGGUUCUAGAAAUUGCUCCUACCUUGCCCUUGAGCUCUCAUGCCUAGAGGUGGCAAUGACUGCCUGCUACUGUCAGUGCUAGGUACUGCACUCUGUUUUCCUAAACCCUUUUCACACUUUUAUGAAUAGUCUAUUCAUUACAAUUAGAUACAACUUACCCCCACACCAUCCCCAUACAACUAUACACUCCCCUUCCAGUAUCCUCUCAAUAUAAUUAUAUCAUAUUUGUUGACAUCAUUAGUUGGACAGUAUUUACAUUAUUAAACUAUAUAAAUAUUGCUGACUACAUAGCCAAGUAGAGAGUUAUCAGUCGUGAUUGCAUUUCCUUUUCUAAACUAAUUUUUGUUUUUCCUGCGUUUAACUGCCCAUUUUAAAAAAAGACUUAGUUUUCAAUACAUAGGUCUUUAAUUCUUUCCACACACACCAUCAGACAUGUUAAAUGCAUGUACAUGUUGUUUUCCUGUUUCAAACAUUGUAAAUUCUCUGUAUCUUUUUCUUUGGGUGGGGGGCAAGUGUGAAGUAAACCAGCCUCCAGAAUAAAUAGAACUCAGUGUUAUGGAUUCUAAAAUUAAAAUCUUAACAAAUUAACAAAGUGAUGAAAACAGGAAGUUUAGCUCUCAAGGAUCCUUUAUUGGUCUUAAAGGUUUUACUCUCUUUGGCAAAUAUUGUGACCACUUUAUAGAUGCUACAUAUUCUACUAGACAAAUACUAUGACCUCUUUCAAAGUGUAUCAUCAUUCCCCUUUUAAAUAGCACAUUCGAAGUGUGCUGACUUUUAGUUCUAGGGUCUGCCUUCCCCUUACCUGCUGAGUGUCACAGGAUCUCUUCCCUCCUUGAUUAUCUCAAGGAGAUACAUCAACUUUUGGUUCAUAAAAGAAAGUCAGUCGCUUUUAUUUGUUAAAGACUUGAAGUAUGGGCUGGGCGUGGUGGCUCACGCCUGUAAUCCCAG
rnacentral:lncRNA from 10 species